AGAUUGAACGCUGGCGGCAGGCCUAACACAUGCAAGUCGAGCGGUAGAGAGGUGCUUGCAUCUCUUGAGAGCGGCGGACGGGUGAGUAAUGCCUAGGAAUCUGCCUAGUGGUGGGGGAUAACGUUCGGAAACGGACGCUAAUACCGCAUACGUCCUACGGGAGAAAGCGGGGGACCUUCGGGCCUCGCGCCAUUAGAUGAGCCUAGGUCGGAUUAGCUAGUUGGUGAGGUAAUGGCUCACCAAGGCGACGAUCCGUAACUGGUCUGAGAGGAUGAUCAGUCACACUGGAACUGAGACACGGUCCAGACUCCUACGGGAGGCAGCAGUGGGGAAUAUUGGACAAUGGGGACGAAAGUCUGAUCCAGCCAU
rnacentral:rRNA from 1 species